rnacentral:lncRNA from 1 species
GAAAAGUUUUUGGUUUUCGGAGUGAACUAAACAAGGCCAUAGUAGUAUAUAUAGUCUAUAUGAGCGUACCUUGAGGAAAACAGCGUUUGCUGACGGAAUGCUCUCAAACAUGUCACCAGCAAUGUACUUCACAUUGGUGUCAGUGGGAGCAUUGGUGACAACGUGUGGGAGAUCUAACACGCUGCACUCCACAUGCGGGAACGCCUUCGCGAUGGUCUGGGUAGCACCGCCGAGCCCGCCGGCGACAUCGACAAGGGAGCUAAUCCCCUGAAAGACGUCGCUGCACUCCUUGAUCACGACGUCCAUGAUGAAACUGCUGUCCGCGACCAUCCCGUCGUCGAAGAGCUUGCCGAAGCUUGCGUCGUGGUCGGCAAGGUCCCAUAUAUGCCGUCCAUGCGCUAACUUGAAGGGGGACGGGUCCGGCAACUCGUGCCCGAACCACUCGCCGAGGUCGAAGAAGGAAGACACAAAGACAGUACCGAGCAUCAAGGUCAGGAAUGGAGUCACGGAGUAGUUUGCCGAGUGUCACCCCUCGGCAAAAACAAACACACGAUAAUUCGACGGUUUGCCUAGUGCCAGACACUAGGCAAAUUAUGACACUCGGCAAACUAGCUCUUUGCCUAGUGUUCAGCACUAGGCAAAACUAGACACUCGGCAAAUGUUCCGUUCCAGCAUGCACGGCCCAACCGCCGUUAGGGUUUGCCGAGUGUCUCGUUAGACACUCGGUAAAGUUAUAUUUUUCCUAGUGUUUCUUACUGACACUAGGCAGUGUUUUAUCCUGGUACUAGGCAAAGUUACCAUUUUGCCUAGUGUUUUGCUUGGAUACUCGGCAAAUAUUUUUUGUUUUUUUUGUUUGUGUCUAGCCUCCAAACCUUUUCUCCUAACAUCAUUAGGUAACCUUAACUUUAUGUGAAAGUUUUAUAUCAUUCUCAAUCUAUUUGCUAUAUUUAGUUAAUUUAGCUCAUUUAAUUGAAUUUUUGGGGAUAACUCAAAUUUAAACUGUAGGUGGUUCAAGUAAUUUUAAAAAAUGAAUGGAAAAAUGAUAUUCAUGUUUUUUCAAAUCGAGUAAAGUUCAAAUAUAGGAAGUUACAUCAAAUUUCAAACAUCUUGCUCAUGAAGCAUGAGAACAAUGUUGUGGCCUAGUCGUUUUUAAAUUCUAUAGAAACCAAACAAACUCUAAAAAUCACGAGAUUUCUCAAAAUGUCAUGAUAUCAUAUGUGGAGGUUGUGAUAAAAAAUUGAAAAGAUUUCACGAAAGUUGUCAUGUACAUUGCUUACAAAUCGAAACAUCUCAAAAAAAAGUUUCAUAUAGUUGAGUAGGAUCCGGUAAGAUUCGAUGUUAAAUUUAGUGUUCAGUUGGAGUUUCACUUUAAAACUUUUUUAUAUAGUGAAACUUUUUUGGCCAUAACACUCGGCAAUGGACUGCACUGGACACCUAGAAAAAAUGGUUUGCUGAUUGUCCAGGCCAGGACACUAGGCAAACCUGAUGGUGGCUUUGCCAAGUGUACAGGACACUAGGUAAACAUGAUAGCUUUGCCGAGUGUCCUAUCCAAGACACUAGGAAAACUUGGUACUUUGCCUAGGCCUUGUUUAGUUCCAAAAUUUUUUGCAAAAUAGGAAUAGUAGCACUUUCGUUUAUAUUUGACAAAUAUUGUCUAAUCAUGAACUAACUAGGCUCAAAAGAUUCGUCUCGUCAAUUUCGACUAAACUGUGCAAUUAGUUUUUAUUUUCGUCUAUAUUUAAUACUCCAUGAUGCGUCUAAAGAUUUGAUGUGACGGGAAAUCUAAAAAAUUUUGCAAAAUUUUUUGGGAACUAAACAAAACCCAAGUGUCCCAAGAAAGACACUCGGCAAACUAUUUUUUUUUAAAAUGUCUUUGCCGAGUAUUUGGCUGUAGACACUCGGCAAACCGUGAUCUUCCGUCAGGUUUGGCGUGAUGGCUACUUUUGUUUGCCGAGUGUCAAACGGGCACUCGGCAAAGGCUUUGCCAAGUGCACGAAAAAAGACACUCGGCAAAGCAGUUUGCCGUUAUCUUUUUUUUCGUCUCCGCUUUGCCGAGUGUGGCACUCGCGAAACGGUUUCCCGAGUGUUUUUUGCCGUUUGCCGAGUGCCUUAGACACUAGGCAAAACGUGUGAUUCCAGUAGUGAAUGGAGCUCUCACAGUACAGGUAAUCGCAGAAUUCUUCCGCAUCUAGAGGAUGUUGAGACUGCUACAACUAAAUCUAGGAAUGCCGGACAUCAUUCCCUAGCGGUUCUCAGGAGAUGGCAACUACUGGCUCUCGGCUUCAACUUAUGGGGCAAUGUUUUUGUGCUCCUCCAGACCACUUGGCGCCCAUGAGAUUUGGAAGACGGCUGCACCGCCUAAAGUGCGUCACUUCUUCUGGCUAUGGCUAGUACUACACGACCGCUGCUGGACGGCAGAACGCCGGUUUUGACUACAUUAUCUGUGUUUAUAGCAGGGAGGUCUGGGGUCUGGCAGAUGCUGCUUCUCCAUUUACAGUGGGUGGACUCCAUCGUGGUGGCGGAGGAAGGGGUGCUAGGCUGGUGGCUACGCAGUAGGAAGUUUAUCGCCAAGCAGGUCGGAACGUUUGGUGGAGCGCCUACUUCGCCAACAGUGCUAGCUAGCAAGAUCUUUGAAGAAGCUAAAGAGUGGUCUGUUGCUGGUUACCGUAGCUUAGCGGUGCUUCUUGCAGCUUUGCGUUCCACCUGACAGACAGUAGUGCUUUCUUUUGUUUUUCUCUGAGCCUCGGUGUGGUAUUUUGCUGUGUCGUUAGGUUGGCAUUGGUAACCUCUUGAUUACCAAUGCUCUUUUGUAUUUUGUUCCCUUAAAACUCUCUUCUAGCUUAAUGAAUUCCGUGCAACGCACGUUCGAGAAAAAAAGACAUUGGUACUCUACUAUGCACUUACUCAGACGAGCGAAUGAAUUCUAGAUUGUCCUUUCUCAAAAGAUUGUUGGGCCACUCUUGGGUUGGUGAUUCAGAAUCCUUCAGAUCCGUUUGGUACUCUGCAUUCUUUCCGACAAUAGCUGUAGGUCCUCUUCUUCAUGGAGAUUAUAGUAACCAUGUCAUGGUCUAUCUGGACAAAAAGAAAUGAUGCAAUCUUCAAGUAUGUUCAGCCCUCAAAUGCUUCCUGCAAGUCUACUUUCAGACGAGAAUUUGUUCAAGUUAUCCUUAGAGCAAAAAGUAGCUUAAAACCGAGGUUUGCUCAAUGGCUAGAAGCUUAUGUGUAAUUCUGCAUUGAUUCCUUUUUUUUGUUUCAUGAUCAUACUCUGUAAGAACCGUUUUUUUGUGUUUAAUAAAAGCCCAGUAGAAGGAGCACCGCCGCCUGUUACCAUAAGAAAAAGUUCUCGUGUCAUCCUCGAUGCCGGUGACCUCCACUCAUCCAUCUUCGUUCCUCACCUUGGUAACCUUUCCCUUCCUUCCUUUCUCCCUUUCAACAAAAGCACCAUGUUCUCUCUCUCCUACCAGGCGGCGACAACCCAUUCGGCGCAGGCGGCGCCCCAGCAUGGGCACAUCCAUUUGGCGACGCCUUGGCGCAGGGAGCGCGAGUGGACAGAGCACAGGAUGACCGAUGCAUCUCAGUGUGGAGGCGGCCCUCGCUUGGCAGUGAGCCCAUGGUGCUAGUGCGGCAUCUCUGGUGUUGACGGCUAUUUUCUUUUCUUAAAGUGAUUUUCACCGGCGGGUGGAUAUGUGUCCAACUGUGAUAUCAAUUUGUCACCGUAAUGUGCUUACUCAAGCCGGCGGUGAAAUGAACUUAUCACCGCUAGUUGCAAACACUCGAUCAUAAUAACCUCUAUUGCUGAUUAUCACUAAUAAGUUGACGAUGGGGUCUGCCGACCCAACGGUGAUGAAGAAUCAAUACUAGUGAGAGUCGAUCUAAUUGCAAGGGUCGGACGCUAAUUGUAUCGCUUUGUAAUCAACCUUAGUAGGACGCCGCUAAGAGGUCGUGACUUUUUUUUUGGCUCGCCCUUUCUGCUCGACGAAUGCUGGCAAUUGGCCGGUGUUUGUCUGAUUGGAUUGUAAAAAAACUUUUGUCUCCUCUAAUGAAAUACGUGUGUAGCGCGUUCUUAAAAAAAAUUCAAAUUGCUAGAAUAUGAUUAUUGGAAUGAGAUUCAGUUCCAGGGAGCCAAACAACUCCUAUUAUAUUACAAGAAAAACAAUGUUAUGAUAUGGUAAAAUAUUAUUCCUUACCCAUAUGUAUGAUAUAUCAGCCAAAGUCCAGUACGAAAACGGGAGAACCCCAGCCAAACACCCAAUACGUGUAAAGAUUCCUCUCCUGUUAUCCUUGCUCUGUGCUCAUUCGGCCAGCUGUCGCUUUCACUCCACUGGACGUGUGAUGUCCCUAGCUAAUGCAUUUUCCAUCGUAUAUGGUGCGCCCACAUGUUCAACAUGUGUCCCUUACAUAAUGCGCAAAGGUCUCUGUUUCACGAUUAUUAGUUCUCCAUUAACAUGACAUGUCACGGCGAGAUGACAAGAUACGAUUCGGCCACCUUGUGAGUUGUGAUGGCAAUCAUUCGAACAAAGGAGUGUACUAUCGCUGAUCUGGAGUUGGGUGCUCGCGUGAAAUUCGUGCACGCCGGAGCAUUUCCAUGUGAUGACUGGAGUAGAAUCCAACAAGUAGGCAAAUCAUAUAUAGUGUCAACAUCUCAAAGAUUAUCAGAGCGCUCAAUCACCAUAAACACGACGAGUCUAUAACUCUAUAUGGACGCGUUUUGCACCCAAGAUGCUAUAACAAUUGGAGCAGAUCAACACUACUAGCUCUAGCUCUGCGCCAUGGCGCCCGUCAAGGCGCAAGACGCGAGCACUGACCAGCAGACUAUGCUUGAUGCUCAGCUCCAGCUCUGGCACCACACCUUCGGCUACAUCAAAUCCAUGGCGCUCAAGGCCGCGCUAGACCUCCGCAUCCCCGACGCCAUCCACCAGCAUGGCGGCUCAGCCACCCUCCCACAGAUAGCCACCAAGGCCACGCUCCACCCGUCCAAGAUACCAUGCCUGCGCCGCCUCAUGCGCGUGCUCACUCUGACCGGCGUCUUCAGCGUCGUCCACGACGGCGCCGGCGACGAGCCUGUUUACGGGCUCACGCCGGCGUCUCGUCUUCUGGUCAGCUCGGGGCGCCUGUACAACCGUAUACCGGUAUCUCCUAAAAAAUGUCUCACUAGUACACAAAAUUUAAUGAAGACAAUCACUUUUGAUUAUUGGAGACGGGCAUAUGUAACCGUCUCCAAUGAAAGAUCAUGGUUAAUGCACAAACCAUGAAGGUCACGGUUAAUCGAUAUGAAAAAAAACAAAAAAAGAAAGAAAAUCACGUGGAUAGGCCAACCGUUCCCAUCCACAGGCCCGCCAAACCCAUCCACAUGUGGCUGCCGCCGCUCUGCUCACAGGAUUCGGGCCGCCAUCGGAGAAGAUCGGGCCCUGCGCGUGGCGCCGAAGGAGAAGACCGAGCAAUGGCGGAGAAGGAGAUCCACGCCGCCCGCGCUAGAGGAGAACCACGCCACCAGCACCAUGCGCUGGAUCCACCGCUGCCACAAUCGCUGCUGGAUCUUGCUGCCACUAUCAUUGCCGGAUCUCACGCAGGCCCCCGCCCCGGAUCCGCCAUUGCCAAGUGCCAUUUGGCCGCGGCCCCCGGGAGCACGCGAGCUCCACCUUUGGCGCAUGUGGACCUCGCCUGGGUGAUCGGCUCCUGCCAUUGGACCCUCUGUUGGGGGAGCACGACUACCAUGGCCUGGGCAGAGGUGCACGACCCUCACCUAGGUGAGCGGCUCUCGCUUGCUUCCUCAGAUGCGCCGCCAGGAGAGAGUGUGUGGAGGGAGGGAUGACGCAUCUGCCGAGGGAGACUGAGAGGCAGGCUACCGCAUCUGAGAGGGGAAGAGGUAGAGAGACUGAUGAGUGAAGUCAAAACCCAAACUGGUUGUAUAUAUACGAGGAGCGAGUUAUUGGGCCAAGAUAUGGGUUGCAUGGGCCACUAUUUUUGGAGGUGAGACCUUAUAGUGUGACUGCCUCCAAAAAAUAAUUUAUGGAGGCGGGUAUGUUAAGACAACCACCUCCAAAAAUAGAUUAUUUUUAGAGACGGUUGUCUUUAGCUGACCGCCUCUAUAAAUCUAUUUUUUGGGGUGGGCAAAAGUGUCUGCCUCGGUAAAUAAAAAAUGUCCACCUCCAUUAAUCGUAGACAUUAACUAAGACGGUUAAAUUUUGUGAUCGUCUCCAUUAAUGAAAAUAUACCGUCUUGCAAAAUUAUUUGUGUAGUAGUUUAUACUAGUAUGUUUAGACAAAUACACCAUCGCACACCUUCCUUCCGGCGGUGAUCAAAUCAUUUUAUUACACGUUGUUGAGGACUGUAUUCUAAGAACUUUAAGACACACGGCAAAACACUUCUUCACACGCUUACAUAGUAGAUUUCUAUGGAUAGACCUCGAUAAUCGAUCGAACACCUAGAACAGGUAUGAUCUUGUAAGAGCUAAAUCCAGCUUCAAAAAUAAUCUUCUUCCACUCUAGCUCAUCUCGCUCGGCACCAUUGAUAAACAUCAUAAAGAGAUCAAACAAGAUUUGCGUCUCCACAUGCUUCUCGUCGGACGACCCUGCUCCAACCACCAUAUCCAAUAUUACCACCUUUCCUCCUUGAGAUGCUAUGGCUUUCUUGCAGUUCUUCAA